AACGAACGCUGGCGGCAGGCCUAACACAUGCAAGUCGAACGCCCUAGCAAUAGGGAGUGGCAGACGGGUGAGUAACACGUGGGAACCUUCCCUAUAGUACGGAAUAUACCAGGGAAACUUGGAGCAAUACCGUAUACGCCCGAGAGGGGAAAGAUUUAUCGCUAUAGGAUGGGCCCGCGUAGGAUUAGCUAGUUGGUGAGGUAAUGGCUCACCAAGGCGACGAUCCUUAGCUGGUUUGAGAGAACGACCAGCCACACUGGGACUGAGACACGGCCCAGACUCCUACGGGAGGCAGCAGUGGGGAAUAUUGGACAAUGGGCGCAAGCCUGAUCCAGCCAUGCCGCGUGAGUGAUGAAGGCCUUAGGGUUGUAAAGCUCUUUUGCCGGGGACGAUAAUGACGGUACCCGGAGAAUAAGUCCCGGCUAACUUCGUGCCAGCCGCCGCAGU
rnacentral:rRNA from 1 species